rnacentral:rRNA from 1 species
UACGGGGGGAGCAAGCGUUGUUCGGAUUUACUGGGCGUAAAGGGCGCGUAGGCGGGCUGUCAAGUCUGGGGUGAAAUGCUGCGGCUCAACCGUAGAACUGCCUUAGAUACUGACGGCCUCGAGGAAGGUAGGGGCAUGCGGAACUGUAGGUGGAGCGGUGAAAUGCGUUGAUAUCUACAGGAACUCCGGUGGCGAAAGCGGCGUGCUGGACCUUUUCUGACGCUGAGGCGCGAAAGCUAGGGGAGCAAACGGG